rnacentral:lncRNA from 1 species
GUUAUUGGCAAGCACUUGUGAAGACAGAACUGGCAUAGCUCUUGCUGUUUCAUUUCUCAUGGGCAGAGCAGCUCCCCUGUGCUGUCUUGGGGGGCUGCGGCUGCGGUAAUCCACCAUGCACAGCCCCUGGGAGCGACCCUGGAGCGACACCGCAUAAAACACUGGCUAAGGUAUUUAGUGAGAAGCUGCUGACAACAAAAA